GACGAACGCUGGCGGCGUGCUUAACACAUGCAAGUCGAGCGAGCAGAUUCCCUUCGGGGAUGAAGCUAGCGGCGGACGGGUGAGUAACACGUGGGCAACCUGCCUUAUAGAGGGGGAUAGCCUUCCGAAAGGAAGAUUAAUACCGCAUAACAUCAGAUUAUCGCAUGGUAGACUGAUCAAAGGAGCAAUCCGCUAUAAGAUGGGCCCGCGUCGCAUUAGCUAGUUGGUGAGGUAACGGCUCACCAAGGCGACGAUGCGUAGCCGACCUGAGAGGGUGAUCGGCCACAUUGGGACUGAGACACGGCCCAGACUCCUACGGGAGGCAGCAGUGGGGAAUAUUGCACAGUGGGGGAAACCCUGAUGCAGCAACGCCGCGUGAGUGAUGAAGGCCUUCGGGUUGUAAAGCUCUUUGAUCAGGGACGAUAAUGACGGUACCUGAAGAACAAGCCACGGCUAACUACGUGCCAGCAGCCGCAGUAAUAC
rnacentral:rRNA from 1 species